ACUCCUACGGGAGGCAGCAGUGGGGAAUAUUGCACAAUGGGCGCAAGCCUGAUGCAGCCAUGCCGCGUGUAUGAAGAAGGCCUUCGGGUUGUAAAGUACUUUCAGCAGUGAGGAAGGUGGGUAUGUUAAUAGCAUACUCAUUUGUACGUUAGCUGCAGAAGAAGCACCGGCUAACUCCGUGCCAGCAGCCGCGGUAAGUACGGAGGGUGCGAGCGUUAAUCGGAAUUACUGGGCGUAAAGCGCAUGCAGGUGGUUUGUUAAGUCAGAUGUGAAAGCCCGGGGCUCAACCUCGGAAUUGCAUUUGAAACUGGCAAACUAGAGUACUGUAGAGGGGGUAGGAAUUUCAGGUGUAGCGGUGAAAUGCGUAGAGAUCUGAAGGAUACCGGU
rnacentral:rRNA from 1 species